UACGAGGGGGGCGAGCGUUGUUCGGAAUUAUUGGGCGUAAAGGGUGCGUAGGCGGUUUGGUAAGUCUGAUGUGAAAUCUAUGGGCUCAAUUCAUAGUCUGCAUCGGAAACUGCCGGGCUUGAGUAUGGGAGAGGUGAGUGGAAUUCCCGGUGUAGCGGUGAAAUGCGUAGAUAUCGGGAGGAAUACCUAUGGCGAAAGCAGGUUCUGGGCCAUCACUGACGCUGAGCUGCGAAAGCUAGGGGAGCAAACAGGG
rnacentral:rRNA from 1 species